GACGAACGCUGGCGGUGUGCUUCACACAUGCAAGUCGAACGAGGUAGCAAUACCUAGUGGCGGACGGGUGAGUAACGCGUGGGAAUCUGCCUUUAGAUGGGGGAUAACGGGUCGAAAGACUCGCUAAUACCGCAUAUGACGAAAGUUGAAAGGAGUAAUCCGUCUAAAGAUGAGCCCGCGUCCGAUUAGCUAGUUGGUAGAGUAAAAGCCUACCAAGGCGACGAUCGGUAGCUGGUCUGAGAGGAUGAUCAGCCACAAUGGGACUGAGACACGGCCCAUACUCCUACGGGAGGCAGCAGUGGGGAAUUUUACGCAAUGGGCGAAAGCCUGACGUAGCGACACCGCGUGAGCGAAGAGGCCUUAGGGUGUAAAGCUCUUUCAGUGGGGAAGAUAAUGACUGUACCCACAGAAGAAG
rnacentral:rRNA from 1 species